ensembl:lncRNA
CUGAGGCAAGACUCUUCACCAGCAAAAAGAUUUAUGACUUGCUGAAGGCCCAGAUGAUUGUUAGCAUUUUUCAUCAAUAAUUUUAAAUUAAGGAAUAUACAUUGUUCUUCUAGACAUAAUACUAUUGCACACUUAAUAGACUACAGUAUAGUGUAAACAUAACUUUUACAUGCACUGGUAAACCAAAAAAUGUGCAUGACUUGCGUGAUGGUUAAUAUUGAAUGUCAACUUGAAUGGAUUGAAAGAUGCAAAGUAUUGUUCCUGGUGUGUCCGUGAGGGUGUUGCCAAAGGAGAUUAACAUUUGAGUCAGUGGGCUGUGAGAAGCAGACCCACCCUUAAUCUGGGUGGGCACCCUCUAAUCAAGUGCCAGUGUAGCUAGAAUAAUGCAGGCAGAAAAAGGUGGAAAGAGCAGACUUGCUGAGUCUUCCGGUCUUCAUCUUUCUCCCGUGCUGGAUGCUUCCUGCCCUUGAACAUCAGACUCCAAGUUCUUCAGCUUUUGGACUGUUGGACUUAACCAGUGGUUUUCCAGGGACUCUCAGGCCUUUGGCCACAGAUUGAAAAAUGCUCUCUCAGCUUCCCUACUUUUAAGGUUUUUGAGACUUGGACUGGCUUCCUUGCUCCUCAGCUUGCAGACGGCCUGUUAUGGGACUUCACCUUGUGAUCGGGACUCCUAUCUGUAGCCUCCCAUCCAUUUGCCACCCAGCUGGCCACCAGGCUCAUCAUCCCCUUCUCCUCGAGCUGGGGCCUCCUGAUCUUCAGAAACAGACUCCCUCUCAUCUCCAGAUUCCAGGGAGCAGCAGAAAUUCAAGCACUGGCCAGCACUGCAUCCUUGAACUCCUCAGCAAGGCACCAAAGUUCUCCAGGUAUCACUGCCCAAAAAUGUCCAGGCAGCCUCCCAUCUCCCCAGGGUCCUAACAGCAUGACUGUUCAAAUCCACAGUGUCUUGAACAUCUUGUGCAGAGAUGGAUCAAACCAUGCUGCUGCCUGAAGGAAGUUUGGAGCAGGUGUCUUAGUCCCUUCGGGCUGCUGUAGCAAAGUGCUAUAGGCUGGGUGGCUCAAAAACAACAGCAAUUUAUUUUUCAUAGCUCUGGAGGCUGGCAGUCCAAGAUCAGGAUGUCAGCAUGGGCGGGUCCUGGUGAGGCCCCUCUUCUGGGUUGUAGACUUCCGUCUUCUCUCUGUGUCCUCACAUGGUGGAAAGACAGCUGGUUAGCUCUCUGGCCUCUUCUCAUAAGUGCACUAAUCUGGCCGGGCACAGUGGCUCAUACCUGUAAUCCCAGCACUUUGGGAGGCCAAGGUGGGAGGAUCACCUGAGGUCAGGAGUUUGAGACCAGCUUGGCCAACAUGGUGAAAACCUGUCCCUACUCAGAAUGCAAAAAUUAGCGGGGUGGGGUGGCUCAUGCCUGUAGUCCCAGUUACUCAGGAGGCUGCGACAGGAGAAUCGCUUAAACCUGGGAGGCGGAGGUUGCUGUGAGCCAAGAUUGUGCAACUACAUUCCAGCCUGGGCAAUACGGUGAGACUCUGUCUCAAAAAACCAAAAAAUUAUAACUACAUUAAUGCUAUUCAUGGGGGUUCCACUUUGUGAAAGGCAAAUACAUCUUAUGGUCCUUAAAUCACUAAGCUAAAGGGAAAAGUCAAGUUGAGAACCGCUUCAGGCCAACCUGCCUCCCAUUCUAUUCAAAGUUACCCCUCUGUUCACUGAGAUAAAUGCAUAGCUGAUUGCCUCCUUUGGAGAGGUGAAUCAGAAAUGCAAAAGAAUGCAAUCAUUUAUCUCUUACCUAUCUAUGACCUGGAAGCCCCCUCCCCACUUUGAGUCGUCCCGCCUUUCCCGACCGAACCCAUGUUCACCUUACAUAUGUUGAUUGAUCUCUCAAGUCUUCCUAGAAUGU